GGUGCUGAAGGAUGCCGAGAGGAAAUCGGUCGACAACAGUUCCGUGCAGCUGUGGCUGAAGCGGCUCAAGAACGCCAUGUAUGACAUCUCCGACAUGCUUGAAGAGUUCGAGACCGACACCCAACCGGCUGCUCCAAAGAAGUCCUUCAAAAAAGGCAUUUAGCAACUGGUACCUAUUGGUCCCAAGACUAAACUUGCCAGUAAGAUGAAGAAAAUGAGAGAGGAACUGAAGGAGAUUGAAGAUCAACAUGUAAGGUUCAGGUUGGAGGUAGGCUCGGCUAGCAAUGAGCAAGGAAAUCAUGAUUCAAGGGAAACAGCGGUGGUCAUGAAUGAUGAUGAGCUCGUAGUAGGGAGAAGUGAAGAGCAAAUGAAAAUAAUGGCUUCAUUAUCUAAGAACAUUAGAGAAAAGCUUGUUAUCUUUCCCAUAUAUGGCAUUGGUGGAAUUGGAAAGACAACCAUGGCAAAAUUACUUUUCAAAGAUAUACAGUUCAACAAGUACUCUCGGGUAUGGGUCUAUGUGUCCCAGAUAUUUAAUCUGAAGAAAAUUGGCAACUCCAUAAUAUCACAAGUAUCAAAAACGGAGAGCCAAAUAACAGAAAUGCAGAUGAUCCAUACUCACCUUGCAGAGCUACUUGCUGGUAAAAACAUUCUGAUUGUUUUAGACGACAUUUGGGAGGAUAAUAAUCAAUUUCAAUUGGAUGAAUUGAAGAAGAUGCUAAAUGUAUGUGAGGCUAGUAAGAUAAUUGUUAUACUAACCACGCGGAACGAGGGCAUUGCAGAUAACCUUCAUACCAUUCAACCAUACAAAUUACCACUCUUGUCAAAUGACUCUUGCUGGACUAUUAUACAGAAAAAGAGUGACUUCGACUCUAGAGCUGAUAAAACACAAUUGGAACAAAUUGGAAAAGACAUUGCUACAAAGUGCGGAGGUGUGCCCUUAGCAGCUAAGGCCCUUGGAAACAUGUUGUGAACUUUCACUUCUGAUGAAUGGGAGUCUGUGAGAGAUAGUAAUAUCUGGAAUGUGUCUACUUCAGAAGAGGCACAUCCAGUGCUUUCAUCUUUGAGGUUAACUUAUAGCUAUAUGCCCUCACAUUUGAGGCUAUGUUUUGCCUAUUGCGCAAUAUUUCCAAAAGGUCAAAAAAUGAUUAUGGAUGAUCUAAUUCACCAAUGGAUUUCUUUGGACUUCAUAGACACAACACAUGUACUCUCCACUAGGCAACUUGGUGAAAAAUACAUCAAACAACUUUUGGGGUUGUCAUUCUUUGAACAUUCUGCUACUGGAGUGCUUCAUGAAGAUGUCAAACACUUGACAAUGCACGACCUGGUGCAUGACUUGGCUCGAUUGGUCCUGGCCGAUGAAUUAAUUCUAGGGGAAAGCAAACUGGGCAAUACCGACGGAAGUAGCUGCCGCUACGCACUCUUCGAUGAUUGCAGCAAGAGGAUGGAGUCAUACACAGAUUCUCCUGCCAAGAUAAAGGCCCUGCGUUUUCUCGAUUGUGGAAAAAUUGGACUUCACGGUGAUGCAUUUUCUUCUGCCAAGUAUAUUCGCGUCUUGGAUUUAAGCGAUUGCUUUAUACAGGAGUUACCCGAUUCUGUUGGUCAACUGAAGCAGCUGAGGUAUCUAAAUGCUCCUAAGAUCCAACAUCGGAUGAUUCCCAACAGUAUCACAAAGCUCUUAAAAUUGAUGUACCUCAGCCUUCGUGGGUCUUCUGCUUUGUUGGAAAUGCCAGAUUCGAUUGGCGAUUUGGAGGAUCUGAUGUAUCUUGAUCUGUCAUGCUGCUCAGAACUAGAAAAACUGCCAGAGUCAUUUUCCAGACUAAAUAAGUUGGUCCAUCUAGAUUUGUCAAACUGCACUAAUGUUACAGGUGUCUCAGAAUCCUUGCCGAGCCUUACAAACCUUGAAUUUUUGGACAUAUCAUACUGCUGGAAUAUCAGAGAGUUACCAGAACAUUUCGGUAGCCUUUUGAAACUAAAAUAUUUAAACAUGUCAGGUUGUGAUGAAAUUGAAGAAUUACCAGGAUCAAUUGGGAAUAUAAAAAAUUUGGUGCAUCUUGAUUUAUCACACUGUUGUCAGGUUAAAGUGACACCACAAGUCUUGGAUUGUCUUACCAAACUCCAAUAUUUGAAUUUAUCUCAAUGUGGCUGCAUUGAUGGAACUAAGGUGGCAGAAGCCCUGGGCAAUCUCACACAACUUCGGCAGUUACAUUUGUCUGGGUUCAUGGAUACGAUGUAUCACGAUGAAUCAACUUUUUCUACUUCUCUUGAGUGUAUCAGCACCCUCUCAUAUCUGGAACAUCUGGACAUAUCUUGUAAUAUAGGUCUUCUUCAUCUACCAGAACGUUUCGGUAGCCUCGGUAAGCUGCAUACACUGGACCUCUCGGAUUGCUCCUCUCUGCGGUUCCUACCAGAAAGUAUAGCACAGAUGGAUAGCCUAAAGAGGGUGUAUGCGAAGGACUGCAGACCCUUGGUGACCCAGCUGCUUGUUGCGCGUGGAUUGCAUAAAAGUUUGACUCCGCUGAUGGAACUCGAUGUCCAAGCUGGUGAGUUAAAAGGUGGCAACCUUGUUCUGUUUCAUGCUGUGGAUGUUACUGCGGUGAAGAUAUACGGACUUGACGAGGUGGAAUCUUUUGAAGAGGCACAAAGUAUUAAAUUGGUUGCAAAAAAAGGAAUUGAAAAAUUGAGACUUGUGUGGAGCGUUAGCAGCUACCAUGUGAGGAUUGUGGAGGAUAGCGAAGUGCUGGGAGGCCUCGAGCCACCAAGCACUAUAGAGAGCUUAGACAUAAAUGGUUACAACGGCAUAAUAUUUCCAGACUGGCUAAUGUGCAUUUCUCAUGAUAAUUUCCCUAAUCUCGUGUGUCCUUGGUGGAUUUGGCUAAUUGCAUCGACCUACCACCACUUGGCCAAUUACCUAACCUGCAAAGCCUGGUUCUUAGAAGUAUGCCAAGUGUUGCAAAAAUUGAUGAGGACUUCUGUGGUGGCACUGUAGCAUUUUCUCGACUGGAGAGCUUCAGCGUAUUCUUUAUGGAAAACCUCGAAGUAUGGAACACAAGAUGUUCUUGUGGUGGGGAUGGUGCGAGUGGGUAUAUGUUCCCCAGCCUUCGUGAAUUGCAAAUAUUUGGUUGUCCCAAGUUGAGGUUGAAACCUUGCCCGCCGAAAGCUGAGAAGUGGACUAUAAGCCUAAGUGAUGCUGUAAUAUCAUCAUGGGGUGAGAGGACAUUAGACAUGGGUGCUUCAACUUCCUCCUCUCCUCUGGUUACUACUCUGACAAUACAACAGUGCGAUCUGCCUAUGCAUCAGUGGAGGCUGCUUCACCACCUAACUGCCCUCUCGAAUUUAUGUAUCUCGGACUGCAGUGAUCUUACCAGCUCACCUGAGAUCAUCAGAGUCCUUGCCUCCCUCCAAUGCUUCAGUGUGAACGGCCGGAGGCAACCACGAGGCAAAAUUGCCAGGGUGGCUGGGUCAUCUCACAUCUCUAGAGAAAUUGACAGUGCACUAUUUUCACAUAGACGCAUUGCAGGAUACAACCAAGCUUCCCAGUUUCCUACAAUCGCUUGAACUAGACUAUUGCGAAAGUAUGACAGCACUGCCACAGUGGGUAGGGGACCUAGCGUCUCUCAAAUGAUUGAAAAUAUCAUCGUGCGAAAGCCUGAAUAGUCUGCAGGAGAUCAUGGGAAGCCUCACCUCUCUGCAGGAACUUCAUAUCUGGUACUGCUCCAGCAUCGAGUCUUUGCCAGAGAGCAUACAACAGCUAACUAAUCUCGAAAAACUACAAAUUACUGGGUGCCCUACAUUAAAGCGAUGGUGUCAAAUAGAGGAGAACAAGUUGAAGCUCGUCCACAUCAAAGAAAAGAGCUGCAUUUGAAUAGCUUUGUACUAGACGUUUGAUGAUUGAAUGGCUAGCAGGAAAGAGAAGAGGGCGUAGUCCCAGAAUCCCCGUUGCCGUGUGCCGGGUAGGGAGAUGCCCCACUGUUGCGCCCACGGUACGUACCGUUUCUGCAAUGAGUAGAUGACAACGUUGAAUACGUGUUUCGGUGUUUGUAUCUUGUAAAUUUUCCUGCAAUCUCGACUAUGAAAUAUAAUAGUUAAUUGGCCUUCUCAGGGUCUGAAGCUUUUUUUAAACUAGAACGAUGACGGAUGUGUGCCUGCGUCUUUCAUAUAUAGAGUGAUCAUCCCGAUUUCAUUAUGCUCAAAAGGCCACCUUAGCUUUUCGAUGGAUGGACCAGGUCGUUGCGAGUUUGACUAUUAGGGAUGAAACUGUAUUCUAAACGACCGAAUUCGUUUAGAGGGGUUUAGAUCUGUUUGUAUUCGAGUCUGAAUAUUCAACAUCCGAUUCUGUAUUCGUAUUCGAUAUACUUAAAUCGUAUAUUUAUGAUGUCGACAUCUAA